UUAAGCGACUAAGCGUACACGGUGGAUGCCCUGGCAGUCAGAGGCGAUGAAGGACGUGCUAAUCUGCGAAAAGCGUCGGUAAGGUGAUAUGAACCGUUAUAACCGGCGAUGUCCGAAUGGGGAAACCCAGUGCAAUUCGUUGCACUAUCGUUAACUGAAUACAUAGGUUAACGAGGCGAACCGGGGGAACUGAAACAUCUAAGUACCCCGAGGAAAAGAAAUCAACCGAGAUUCCCCCAGUAGCGGCGAGCGAACGGGGAGCAGCCCAGAGUCUGAAUCAGCUUGUGUGUUAGUGGAACGGUCUGGAAAGUCCGACGGUACAGGGUGAUAGUCCCGUACACCAAAAUGCACAGGCUGUGAACUCGAAGAGUAGGGCGGGACACGUGGUAUCCUGUCUGAAUAUGGGGGGACCAUCCUCCAAGGCUAAAUACUCCUGACUGACCGAUAGUGAACCAGUACCGUGAGGGAAAGGCGAAAAGAACCCCGGCGAGGGGAGUGAAAAAGAACCUGAAACCGUGUACGUACAAGCAGUGGGAGCACCUUCGGGUGUGACUGCGUACCUUUUGUAUAAUGGGUCAGCGACUUAUAUUCUGUAGCAAGGUUAACCGUAUAGGGGAGCCGCAGGGAAACCGAGUCUUAACUGGGCGUUAAGUUGCAGGGUAUAGACCCGAAACCCGGUGAUCUAGCCAUGGGCAGGUUGAAGGUUGGGUAACACUAACUGGAGGACCGAACCGACUAAUGUUGAAAAAUUAGCGGAUGACUUGUGGCUGGGGGUGAAAGGCCAAUCAAACCGGGAGAUAGCUGGUUCUCCCCGAAAGCUAUUUAGGUAGCGCCUCGUGAACUCAUCUUCGGGGGUAGAGCACUGUUUCGGCUAGGGGGUCAUCCCGACUUACCAACCCGAUGCAAACUACGAAUACCGAAGAAUGUUAUCACGGGAGACACACGGCGGGUGCUAACGUCCGUCGUGAAGAGGGAAACAACCCAGACCGCCAGCUAAGGUCCCAAAGUCAUGGUUAAGUGGGAAACGAUGUGGGAAGGCACAGACAGCCAGGAUGUUGGCUUAGAAGCAGCCAUCAUUUAAAGAAAGCGUAAUAGCUCACUGGUCGAGUCGGCCUGCGCGGAAGAUGUAACGGGGCUAAACCAUGCACCGAAGCUGCGGCAGCGACACUAUGUGUUGUUGGGUAGGGGAGCGUUCUGUAAGCCUGCGAAGGUGUGCUGUGAGGCAUGCUGGAGGUAUCAGAAGUGCGAAUGCUGACAUAAGUAACGAUAAAGCGGGUGAAAAGCCCGCUCGCCGGAAGACCAAGGGUUCCUGUCCAACGUUAAUCGGGGCAGGGUGAGUCGACCCCUAAGGCGAGGCCGAAAGGCGUAGUCGAUGGGAAACAGGUUAAUAUUCCUGUACUUGGUGUUACUGCGAAGGGGGGACGGAGAAGGCUAUGUUAGCCGGGCGACGGUUGUCCCGGUUUAAGCAUGUAGGCUGGUUGUCCAGGCAAAUCCGGAUAAUCAAGGCUGAGGUGUGAUGACGAGGCACUACGGUGCUGAAGUAACAAAUGCCCUGCUUCCAGGAAAAGCCUCUAAGCAUCAGGUAACAUCAAAUCGUACCCCAAACCGACACAGGUGGUCAGGUAGAGAAUACCAAGGCGCUUGAGAGAACUCGGGUGAAGGAACUAGGCAAAAUGGUGCCGUAACUUCGGGAGAAGGCACGCUGGUGUGUAGGUGAAGCCCCUGCGGGUGGAGCUGAGACCAGUCGAAGAUACCAGCUGGCUGCAACUGUUUAUUAAAAACACAGCACUGUGCAAACACGAAAGUGGACGUAUACGGUGUGACGCCUGCCCGGUGCCGGAAGGUUAAUUGAUGGGGUUAUCCGUAAGGAGAAGCUCUUGAUCGAAGCCCCGGUAAACGGCGGCCGUAACUAUAACGGUCCUAAGGUAGCGAAAUUCCUUGUCGGGUAAGUUCCGACCUGCACGAAUGGCGUAAUGAUGGCCAGGCUGUCUCCACCCGAGACUCAGUGAAAUUGAACUCGCUGUGAAGAUGCAGUGUACCCGCGGCAAGACGGAAAGACCCCGUGAACCUUUACUAUAGCUUGACACUGAACAUUGAGCCUUGAUGUGUAGGAUAGGUGGGAGGCUUUGAAGCGUGGACGCCAGUCUGCGUGGAGCCAACCUUGAAAUACCACCCUUUAAUGUUUGAUGUUCUAACGUUGGCCCCUUACCGGGGUUGCGGACAGUGUCUGGUGGGUAGUUUGACUGGGGCGGUCUCCUCCCAAAGCGUAACGGAGGAGCACGAAGGUUAGCUAAUCCUGGUCGGACAUCAGGAGGUUAGUGCAAUGGCAUAAGCUAGCUUGACUGCGAGCGUGACGGCGCGAGCAGGUGCGAAAGCAGGUCAUAGUGAUCCGGUGGUUCUGAAUGGAAGGGCCAUCGCUCAACGGAUAAAAGGUACUCCGGGGAUAACAGGCUGAUACCGCCCAAGAGUUCAUAUCGACGGCGGUGUUUGGCACCUCGAUGUCGGCUCAUCACAUCCUGGGGCUGAAGUAGGUCCCAAGGGUAUGGCUGUUCGCCAUUUAAAGUGGUACGCGAGCUGGGUUUAGAACGUCGUGAGACAGUUCGGUCCCUAUCUGCCGUGGGCGCUGGAGAAUUGAGGGGGGCUGCUCCUAGUACGAGAGGACCGGAGUGGACGCAUCACUGGUGUUCGGGUUGUCAUGCCAAUGGCACUGCCCGGUAGCUAAAUGCGGAAGAGAUAAGUGCUGAAAGCAUCUAAGCACGAAACUUGCCCCGAGAUGAGUUCUCCCUGAGACUUUAAGUCUCCUGAAGGAACGUUGAAGACGACGACGUUGAUAGGCCGGGUGUGUAAGCGCAGCGAUGCGUUGAGCUAACCGGUACUAAUGAACCGUGAGGCUUAACCU
rnacentral:rRNA from 1 species